rnacentral:lncRNA from 1 species
GUAAGCCAGUGGGGCUGCAGAGAACAUAAAAUGUGGGUGAAUUUUUGGGAAGCCAUGGAGGUGGAGGGAGGAAAUAGUAAAUGAGCUUCUUAUGCUUCCUGCAUAUCUGAUUUCAUCCUCUUCCAUUCCCUCCUUCCUUAUUUUUUUCUUCUGCUAGAUUUCUAACGACCCAAGUCCAGGAUACAACAUUGAACAGAUGGCAAAGCGGUAAGGGGACAUAAGGUGGAAGCAGGCUGGCUGCUGGGGCUUCAGGGAUUUCCCCAUAUACGGUAUAUAUUAACAAAAUUUGGGACGGGCUUUGGAGGGUGAGAAGCCAGCUGACUGUAGGCUUAGUGCCUCGUACGCUUAUUCCCACAUAGAGGCAAGAAGCUAGUUGAGCUGCCAUACACUGUAAAGGGGAUGGACGUCUCAUUCUCAGGGAUCCUGUCUUUCAUUGAGGAUGUAGCCCAUCGGAUGCUGGCCACAGGCGAGUGUACUCCUGAGGAUCUGUGUUUCUCCCUGCAGGUAAUGCAGUAAAAAACUGGGACAGAAAGUUGGGGCUGAAGGUUUUAUAUUGUAGAGCAGAACUAAUCUGGGAUGCCCCUCU